GAUUAAAUCUCACACUCAAGCUUCAACUGAGGCCUGGUUAGGAGGCUAUGACGCUGUUUCAGAGGGAACAUGGCUCUGGAGUGAUGGAUCAAAACUGAAUAUAGAGAUAUGGGCUCCUGAACAACCUGACAAUUACAACGGAAACGAGAACUGUCUUGUGAUGAACUAUCAACCCUCGAGCAACUGGAAUGACAACCCCUGUUAUGAUAAAUGGCCUUUUGUGUGUGUGAAGAAAUAAACACCAGCAUUUCAGUUUCAUGUUAAAUUCUGAAUGUCUUGCAUUAAAGGAAUAGUUGACCAAAAAAAUACAAUAUUUAAAACCAUCGCUUACCCUCAGUCAAUCUAAGAUAAAGAUUAGUUCUUCAUCAGAACGGAUCUGAAGAAAUAUAACUCUACAUCAUUUGCUUAUUGAUGGAGAUCAUCUGCAGUGAAUGGGUGCCAUCAGAAUGAGAGCCAAACAGCUGAUAAUGAAGACAUCACAAUAAUCCACACGACUCCAGUCCAUCAUUCAAUGUCUUGUGAAGUGAAAGGCUGCAAAGUUUGUAAUCAAUUUUUCAUUCUUUGGUCAACUGCUCCUUUAACUAAUUCUCUCUGAUUUCUUUACUAAUGUGCAAGUAGAACUCAAUAAAUAUCAAGCAGUGCAUUUAA